ensembl:lncRNA
CCCUCGGCCGCCGCGCAGGCUCCCCGCCUGGCGGGGGAAGGCAGCGCUCGUCUCCGCGCCGCCCGGCAGGAAGCCCGGGGAAGGCCGCCACGAACGCCUGCGCCCCGGAGAUCGCGCCCGGGAGUCCGGGCCCGUUCCUUUUCUUCUCUGGACUCGUUUGGUCUCCACGCUGCUUCUGUCACGACAGGUGCUGGGAAAACAGCAUCAAGAAGACAUAAAAAUCCUGGUUCUCAGGAAGCUUAUAUUCUGGUGGAUAGAGGCUGAAAAUGAACAUAUUAAUUCCGCUGCUUCCUUGCUACUAAUGAAUAUUCACCUUGCUGUCAGCAUUGUGCUGUUAUAAAUGGUAUAAAGAUGAGGACCGGCAGGGCAGGAGGUGAAGGAAGCGGCUCAAGUGUACACAGCAGGUGGGAAGGAGCAGCUAAAGCAGAUCCAAGGUCAAGGAGCUGUCCAGGCGGAAGAAUUGUGACGCCUCCGGCUGAACAGUGGCCCCCAGCCGUCGCCAGGUCCUAAUCCCUGAGCUCAGCCUGAGCCUCAGCGCACCCUGACGUGCCCGCUGGUCCAGAAUCUAAUCAGGAGACAGAACCAACGCAGGUUACUUCCGCAGGGAGAGGAGUCAGAUGCUGGAGAAAUGAAAAGGUUUGAAGGUGCAUGCAGGUGUCCAGGAGGCAGUAACUGCAGAAACCAGGUGCCACCCUAGGGCUGGGGCGACCAAGGGAAGAGCUUGUCGGUAAGAAAACGGAACCCCGAAGGAGCUGUCCCCGGACUCAGACUCCGAUCUCAGCCUUUGUGAGGUGGUUGAUGCCUUUGACGGGGUGCUGACCCUAGAAAAGCUGCAAAGGGGGUUCAGCAGCUACUGAUGCGGUAAACUGCCCCCACUGGAAGAUGCGUGGCCGGGGCUCCGGUGAGGGGACCAGGAAGCAGAAGCCAAGAAGAAGCCCUUCAGCCUUCAAGCCUCCCUCCAGUGUCUCCUCCUGGCCGGCAGAUUUGAGCCCACAGCCAGGUGCCAAGGGAGAAAGUACUUUUCCUGUGUUGGCUCAGCCCGAGCACCACUGGGCAGAGUCUGGAAGGGGGGUGUUGAGGCCAAGAAGUAGGAGCUUAAUCAUAUCUGGAGUGAAAGGUAAGUGACAUGCCCCCCUCCCCCCCGCCGCCGGCCCCGCUCCCCUUCUUUUUUAGCCCAACGUUCUGGCUCCAAAGAAGCUUUGAGUUGGUUUCCAAUAAAAGCACAUACUAACCAG